GGCACUAUGGCCGAGUGGUUAAGGCGAGAGACUCGAAUUUUUCUGAACGUUCGGCUAUCUCUUGGGCUCUGCCCGCGCUGGUUCAAAUCCUGCUGGUGUCG
rnacentral:tRNA from 2 species